UACGAAGGGGGCUAGCGUUGUUCGGAAUUACUGGGCGUAAAGCGUGCGCAGGCGGCUUCCCAAGUCAGUGGUGAAAGCCCGGAGCUCAACUCCGGAAUUGCCAUUGAAACUGUGGAGCUCGAGAACGAGAGAGGUGAGUGGAAUUCCCGGUGUAGCAGUGAAAUGCGUAGAGAUCGGGAGGAACACCAGUGGCGAAGGCGGCCUUCUGGACCAAUACUGACGCUCAUGCACGAAAGCGUGGGGAGCAAACAGG
rnacentral:rRNA from 1 species